UGACAUGCUCCAUCUCCACAGAGCGAGAAGGGAAGAGGAUGGCCAAUCACAGUCUGAGACCUCCACCGCCAUGAACCAAAAGAAAUCUCUCUUCUCUGCAAGUCGGUGCCGCUUGGGCAUUUGCUACAGAAGCAGGAAGCUGGCUAACAGUCCGUUCUCACUUGUGCUGUUUUGAGACAAGAUCUUGGUAGGAGGCCUGUGCUUGUCCCCAAUGUGAGAUUCUACUUCUCAGCAUCAGAGGUGCAUUGUGGGUACAUGCCACCUCAGACGGCUGCAUUCUCAUGCUAUGCUCAGCGAACUAUUUGAGAAUAGCUGAAAAGUUCUUUCUCAAGGAGCUGCCUGGGAAGUCUGAGUGCUGAGGAGGGCUGUGAUAAAUGACAACCCAUGCUCCUACGACGUGACAUCCUAAAAUCUUACUGACCAAGGGAACCAGGAAGCGGGCAUAAAGUUCUGAACACUGUUUCAAGUGUUUCUCUCGAGUGGCAGGAGUAAUCCGAGAGAGAGCCUGCACCAGAGCAUUUGGCAGGAGCAAAAGUCCUUGGGUUCAAUUCCCAGUGCUAAAGGUCAAAUUUGUGGCCUUGUGCAGAAGAUGCUCUUGUUUGUGUCCACUGUUGUGAUAAACACCACGGCCAAAAGCGACCGAGGGAGCAAAGGGCUUUGUUUGGCUCAUGGUCCACAAUGACUCUAGCCUGUCCCGAGCUGGCGAGAAAGCAACCCACCAAGAAAGAUGGUCUCCGUGGGCUCCAUCACAAACUCGGGGCAAGAAGUUUAACGAGCUCUUUGUCAUCUAGAAAUGUAGGAGGGCUCUGCUAAGAUCUUCCAUCCUCUACGGUGGUCAAGAAUCGAGCAUCAUUUUGUUAUCGGUAACCAUUGGCACCUUAGCGCAUGGGCCUCCCAUGAUCCUCAUUUUCUGGGUUCCUAUGUUCACGGCAAGCUUCCUACUACAGUGAGGGUGCGUCAGAUGCAGGGCUGGCACAAAGCCCAUCUGUCACCCUCACCCCUGAACCCCAAGAAGACAGA
rnacentral:sRNA from 1 species